UGUUUGGUACAAGUAACAGCAGAAUAUAAGACCCAGAAGACUGUUCAAAAUGAUGUCUAAACCACAUCGGCCCUUUUCAGAGCCAACACUCCCUCACAAGAGAAUUACAAAUUCUUGCACCCGCAACUUUACAAUUUAUUUACAGUUUCUUUCAACAAAAUAAACCCAUUGAACAAAAAAUGAUACAUCGUUUAGAAGCAAUUAACGCUCGAGCCUUGAAGGACAAUAAUUUGCAGAAUUCUCAGCACAGAAAAAUCACCUGGUUACUUGAGAAGAAAGAGAGUGGAAAACAAACAUGGACGUUCCGUUCACUUAAUACAACUUUGGUGGAGUACAGAAGUAGUUUAAAUUCAAAUCUACAUAGAGAACUUUUUAUGAUUGACAAUAAUUUUAAUAGUGGUGCUCAAUCCCUCCGGAAAAGAAAAUAAAUGUUAUUGUAAUUUCUUGUUUUUCAGAGCUCAGCAGUUUCUGCUGCCGUAAAAGGCCUUUGACCAAAGUUGCUCUACGUAGAUUAUGUGCAGUGUGCAUCGGCGAGUGACAUUGGCAAUAAAAAUACACCACCAGGACGCUUGCUGAUGAGUUCCUCUUGCCAAUUGCUGAGGAGUUCGUCCAGCCAAGACUGUAGUGUGUAUGGUGAAUGUUGUGGACGUGAACAUCUACUGGGAUACAUGGCUUUGAAGAUGACCUGAAGAUACCUGAGGCAGCCAACUCUUUGGGGCUGAUAAUGGUGGUGUUUUCAUCGAGCUGACGACGGACUACUACAAGUCUACCGGAAGAUCUUCAUCUAUGUUACUUGGUUCGAUGAGAGGCUGUCAUAACUUCAACUACUUGACAUUCGGCUAUAAGGGUCAUCUGCAGACUUACUUUGUGGGCAGUUGUUUUAAAUGUCCACUUAAGUAGGACUUUUCUUAAAACUUAAAGAGGGUCAGUCUUCAAGGUCAUUACGGUCUGUGGCUGAGUGACUUUAGCAUUGAAUUAUGAACUCUAUAAUUUCAUAAUUUCAUGCACAGCCACAGUCCUUAAUUGAACUUUUGUACAGUCCCCUUUAAAGGCAGUGGACACUAUUGGUAAUAACUAAAAAUAAC